rnacentral:rRNA from 1 species
AACGAACGCUGGCGGCAGGCCUAACACAUGCAAGUCGAGCGAAGCCUUUGGGCUUAGCGGCGGACGGGUGAGUAGCGCGUGGGAACGUGCCCUUUGGUACGUACUAGCCACGGGAAACCGGGCGUAAUACUGUAUGUGCCUUUCGGGGGAACGAUUUAUCGGAAAAGGCUCGGCCCGCGUUGGCUUAGGUAGUUGGUGGGGUAAUGGCCUACCCAGCCGACGAUCUAUAGCUGUUUUGAGAGGGUGAUCCGCCAGACUGGGACUGAGACACUGCCCAGACUCCUACGGGAGGCAGCAGUGGGGAAUAUUAGACAAUGGGGGAAACCCUGAUCUAGCCAUGCCGCGUGAUCGAUGAAGGCCUUAGGGUUGUAAAGAUCUUUCAGUGGGGAAGAUAAUGACUGUGCCGACAGAAGAAGAGCCGGCUAACUCCGUGCCGGCAGCAGCCGCGGUAAUAC